rnacentral:rRNA from 1 species
CCUACGGGAGGCAGCAGUGAGGAAUAUUGGUCAAUGGGCGGGAGCCUGAACCAGCCAAGUCGCGUGAGGGAAGACGGUCCUAUGGAUUGUAAACCUCUUUAGGCGGGGAGCAAUGCCGGGCACGUGUGCCCGGAGGGAGAGUACCCGCAGAAUAAGCAUCGGCUAACUCCGUGCCAGCAGCCGCGGUAAUACGGAGGAUGCGAGCGUUAUCGGGAUUUGUUGGGUUUAAAGGGUGCGUAGGCGGAUUUUUAAGUCAGCGGUAAAAUGUCCGGGCUCAACCCGGGCCGGCCGUUGAAACUGGGGAGCUUGAGUGGGCGAGAAGUAGGCGGAAUGCGUGGUGUAGCGGUGAAAUGCAUAGAUAUCACGCAGAACUCCGAUUGCGAAGGCAGCAUACCGGAGCCCGACUGACGCUGAGGCACGAAAGCGUGGGGAUCGAACAGGAUUAGAUACCCCUGUAGUC